GAUUGGCUCAGGAUGAACGCUGGCGGCGUGCUUAACACAUGCAAGUCGAACGAUUGAAGCUGGAGCUUGCUCCGGCCGAUUUAGUGGCGGACGGGUGAGUAACGCGUGGGUAACCUGCCUCAUACAGGGGGAUAGCAGUUGGAAACGACUGGUAAAACCGCAUAAGCGCACGGUGUCGCAUGACACAGUGUGAAAACACUCCGGUGGUAUGAGAUGGACCCGCGUCUGAUUAG
rnacentral:rRNA from 1 species